CCUGCCCCUAGAAGCUAUGCAAGUAUGGCUGCUGUGUCACAUAUGUGUCAGUAGGUGGCAGAGAAGAGCAUGAUAGGUCUAUGCUCAAUGUUCUGAUUUAUGAACAUCUGAAUGAUUAGUUGCCUACCAUU